UACGUAGGUCCCGAGCGUUGUCCGGAUUUAUUGGGCGUAAAGCGAGCGCAGGUGGUUUAUUAAGUCUGGUGUAAAAGGCAGUGGCUCAACCAUUGUAUGCAUUGGAAACUGGUAGACUUGAGUGCAGGAGAGGAGAGUGGAAUUCCUAGUGUAGCGGUGAAAUGCGUAGAUAUUAGGAAGAACACCAGUGGCGAAGGCGGCUUUCUGGACUGAAACUGACGCUGAGGCACGAAAGCGUGGGGAGCGAACAGG
rnacentral:rRNA from 1 species